GGAGAGUGGAGCGACAGAGCGACAGAGACAGCAUCACCAUUAUUGUGAAGAGCAAUACAAGAAGAUGGACAUGACCCGUGUAAAGAGAAUGGUACUUCAGAUACAGGCGAUGAAGGUCCUGACCUCUCAUCCAUCACACUGAGACAUGACUCCUGUGAAGCGGAUGAUACCUCAGAUACAGAAGGUGACUUAAGAAAGGUUUAUUAUGAAAUACAAAUAAUAUAAUGUUCCAGGAUCCAUGCUGCUUAGUUUUGACCUCAUGAAUUUAAGGGACAGCAGAUCCAAAGCGUGGAAAGUGCAAGGUUAAGAAGAGGUCAAUGAAAACGAGAGGAGAAAAACGCGCAAAGCCAUUACGAAAGGGUAGUCUAUUAAAACCAUCACCCCCGAUGUUGUGAGUUUGGUUUUAUUUUUCUUUGGUCGCAGUCGCAGAAUUUGAACUGUUUGUGUGUGGCGGUGAUAGUAACCGUGUGUGAACUUCCAGUUAUUGGCCAGAAAAAUAUCCGCAACAAAAUCGGCAGCAGAUAUCAGCCAUGACCAACGUCUAAAACAUCGGCAUUGGCUUGAAAAAAAUCCAUAUUGGUAGACCUCUACUCUGGACCCCAGAGGGUUAAACUAAAGUGUCUCUUUAAACAUGAAAUAACUCUCUUGAAUCAGGUAAAUGUUUUUA